CGCCAACGCGCGACCGUGCUGGCCCCCGGGCUCUCCCGGCCCCCCCGCCCGCAUUUCGCCGACGGCGGGGCCGCAGCCAAGGUCACGGUGUCCGGGUGCUUGGGGACCGCGGGGAGUGACCACAUUCAUUCAUUCCCUCCCUCACUCAUUCAUUCAUUCCCUCCCCUACUCCGUCAUUCCCUCCCUCACUCACUAAUUCCCUCCCUCCCUCACUAAUUCCCUCCCUCCCUCAUUCAUUCGAUCCCUCCAUCACUCAAUCAUUCCUUCCCUCUCUCACGCAUUCCCUCCCUCACUUACUCAUUCAUUGCCACCCUCACUCACUCAUUCCCUCCCUCACUUACUCAUUCAUUCCCACUCACUCAUUCCCUCCCUCACUCACUCAUUCCCUCCCUCACUCAUUCCCUCCCUCACUCACUCAUUCCCUCCCUCACUCAUUCCCUCCCUCACUCAUUCAUUCCCUCCCUCACUCACUCAUUCUCACUCUCACUCAUUCCCGCCCUCAUUCAUUCAUUCCCGCCCUCAUUCAUUCAUUCCCACCCUCAUUCAUUCCUUCCCUCCCUCACUCAUUCCCUCUCUCAUUCAUUCCCUCCCUCCCUCACUCACUCAUUCCCUCCCUCACUGAUUCCCUCCCUCACUGAUUCAUUCAUUCCCUCCAUCACUCAUUCAUUCCUUCCCUCACUCAUUCCCUCCCUCACUCAUUUCCUCUCUCAUUCAUUCAUUCCCUCCCUCCCUCACUCAUUCCCACUCUCACAAACUCAUUCCCUCCCUCACUUACUCAUUCCUCCCUCAUUCAUUCCCUCCCUCCCUCAUUCCCUCCCUCCCUCAUUCAUUCAUUCCCUCCCUCAUUCAUUCAUUCCCUCCCUCAUUCAUUCCCACCCUCCCUCAUUCAUUCCCUGCCUCCCUCACUCAUUCCCUCCCUCACUCAUUCAUUCCCUCCCUCCCUCACUGAUUCUCUCCCUUAUUCAUUCCAUCCCUCACUCAUUCCCUUCCUCCCUCAUUCACUUCCUCCCUCACUCAUUCAUUCACUCCCUCCCUCAUUCAUUCAUUCCCUCCCUCCCUCACUCAUUCCCUCCCUUACUCAUUUAUUCCAUCCCUCACUCAUUGCCUCCCUCCCUCAUUCCCUCCCUCUCUCCCUCAUUCAUUCAUUCCCUCCCUCAUUCAUUCCCUCCCUCACUCAUUCCCUCCCUCACUCAUUCAUUCCCUCCCUCACUCAUUCCCUUCCUCCCUCAUUCAUUCAUUCCCUCCCUCACUCAUGCAUUAAUUCCCUCCCUCACUCACUCAUUCCCUCCUUCACUCAUUCACUCCCUCCCUCCCUCACUCAUUCCCCCACCACCUCCCACAGGGUCCCCAGCGGGCAUUUCCCUGUCAGGCACCUGCAGCAGGAGGGGCAGCCACACACCCUGGGUCUGCCUGCCUGGGAGGCGCAGCCGUGGGGAUGUGGGUCCAGGGCAGCAGGGGCAGCCUCCCCCAGAAUCCAGUCCCUGGAAGCCAUGCACAGCCCUGUCCCACCAAGACCAGCGGGGGCCUGGCCUGGCUGCAACUCCCAGGCUCAGAGCCUCCGUGGCCUGUCUAGACACCUGCUGUCCUGGCCCCCAGCCUUGAGGUCCUGGGAAUCUGCUUUUUUUUUUUCCUUUUUUUUGUGAGAUGGAGUCUCACUGUGUUGCCCAGGCUAGAGUGCAGUGGCGCCAUCUUGGCUUACUGCAACCUCCACCUCCUGAGUUCAAGCGAUCCUCCUGCCUCAGCCUCCCGAGUAGCUGGGAUUACAGGCGUGCACCACCACACCCGGCUAAUUUUUGUAUUUUUAAUAGAGACGGGGUUUCACCAUGUUGGCUAGGCUGGUCUCAAACUCCUGACUUCAAGUGAUCCGCCCACCUCGGCCUCCCAAAGUGCUGGGAUUACAGGUGUGGACCACCACGCCCAGCUGAAAUCUGCAUUCUUAACCAGCCCCCUGGGCAAGCCUGGCAGAGGGAUAUGGCCCUUUGGCUUCCUGACAUGGGCUAAGGUUCCAACGCCAUCUUUCUGGCGAAGAUGCCAGCACAGGGCUGUGUGGGGAGGCGUCAGCCAGUAAAAGCCGUGGCUGAAGAAAAGCAAGACAGCCACGGGCCUCGGUGGAUCCCGCUGCAGCCUCAGGCACAGAGAGGGCAGGGCUGGUGAGGUGGGGGGCUUGUCAUGAGUGGGGCUUGGGGAGACUGACUGGAUGUGGUGUGUGGCUGGGGAGGGCCUGGGCCUGAACCUGUGGGCCAUGGGAGCCAUAGAAGGUUGUGGAACAGGAGAAGUAAGACAAGGCCCUGGUUCCCUGUGUGUGUGUGGUGAGGGACUGAGGAGACAUGGCUCAGGCAUCUAGAGAAUUCCUGUCCUGGUGGGAAGUAGUGCCAGGAGGGGCUGGGGUUUGGGGAGGCUGUGGCAGGUGAGGGUGAGGGACAUGGAG
rnacentral:lncRNA from 1 species